UUCGGCAAUGGACGAAAGUCUGACCGAGCAACGCCGCGUGAGUGAAGAAGGUUUUCGGAUCGUAAAGCUCUGUUGUAAGUCAAGAACGUGUGUGAGAGUGGAAAGUUCACACAGUGACGGUAGCUUACCAGAAAGGGACGGCUAACUACGUGCCAGCAGCCGCGGUAAUACGUAGGUCCCGAGCGUUGUCCGGAUUUAUUGGGCGUAAAGGGAGCGCAGGCGGUCAGGAAAGUCUGGAGUAAAAGGCUAUGGCUCAACCAUAGUGUGCUCUGGAAACUGUCUGACUUGAGUGCAGAAGGGGAGAGUGGAAUUCCAUGUGUAGCGGUGAAAUGCGUAGAUAUAUGGAGGAACACCAGUGGCGAAAGCGGCUCUCUGGUCUGUCACUGACGCUGAGGCUCGAAAGCGUGGGUAGCGAACAGGAUUAGAUACCCUGGUAGUCCACGCCGUAAACGAUGAGUGCUAGGUGUUAGGCCCUUUCCGGGGCUUAGUGCCGGAGCUAACGCAAUAAGCACUCCGCCUGGGGAGUACGACCGCAAGGUUGAAGCUCAAAGGAACUGACGGGGGCCCGCACAAGCGGUGGAGCAUGUGGUUUAAUUCGAAGCAACGCGAAGAACCUUACCAGGUCUGACAUCCGAUGCUAUCUA
rnacentral:rRNA from 1 species